rnacentral:tRNA from 1 species
GCCCUGAUGGUGUAACGGCAGCAUGCUGAGCUCGUCAACUCAGCGGUGCCGGUUCGAUUCCGGCUUGGGGCUCC